CCUACGGGAGACUGCAGUGAGGAAUAUUGGUCAAUGGCCGAGAGGCUGAACCAGCCAAGUCGCGUGAGGGAAGACGGCCCUACGGGUUGUAAACCUCUUUUGUCGGGGAGCAAAGCGAGUCACGUGUGACUCAUUGAGAGUACCCGAAGAAAAAGCAUCGGCUAACUCCGUGCCAGCAGCCGCGGUAAUACGGAGGAUGCGAGCGUUAUCCGGAUUUAUUGGGUUUAAAGGGUGCGCAGGCGGAGGUGCAAGUCAGCGGUCAAAUUGCGGGGCUCAACCCCGUACUGCCGUUGAAACUGCAGCCCUUGAGUGCGCGAGAAGUAGGCGGAAUGCGUGGUGUAGCGGUGAAAUGCAUAGAUAUCACGCAGAACUCCGAUUGCGAAGGCAGCAUACCGGCGCGCAACUGACGCUCAUGCACGAAAGCGUGGGUAUCGAACAGGAUUAGAUACCCCUGUAGUC
rnacentral:rRNA from 1 species